rnacentral:tRNA from 6 species
GCCCGCUUGGCGGAAUUGGCAGACGCGCAGCGUUCAGGUCGCUGUUCAGGUGACUGAGUGAAAGUUCGAAUCUUUUAGCGGGCAUCA